CUGCCCGUGAGAGGGUGCACCUCGACCUCCUCAGGCCAUGCUGGUGAGGAGACAGCUGCCUCCAGCUGUGUUGUUCGGUAGACACCCUCACCCCUAUCUCCAGGACUGAUUAAUUUGUGCCUCAGAUGGAUGGAAACAAGGAAAAGAAGAAGAAACAUGUCCCCUUGGAAGCCAGCGGGAGGGCUGCUUCCCUCACAGCCAGGGCAGCACCUACACUGGGAGAGCCUAACCCGGGCCGAAGCCUCCUCAGUGCUGUGCCAGACUUCAGACUGUCCCUCUUCCAGCCACGUUCAUUUCUUCCGUCCUGGGCUCCUUUCUCACCACACAGCUCUGAAAAGGUGAGAACACUUUGAGAGGCAUGGCUGAGACCAGCAUUGCCCACAACACUCAGCACUGCCAAAAGCAGUCAUGGACCUGCCUGUGAUAUCCCCCCAUGGCCAUUGUUACCAGGACCAGUCUCCAGCUGCUGUGUCUCUUAGGGACCAUCGCUGCCUGUUGGUGUGAUGGCUGUCUUGAACAGACAUUGUAUCUGACUCCUUGCAGCUUACCUCCUGGCCUAAUGAUAGGUAACAACAGAACAAUUCAUCCAGGAACAACUUGUUCUCUGCCUGCUUGGAUGGGGAGAAAAGAGUUGGUGCUGGGGUACAGAACUUUCUAACUGUGUGGUGCCUGUUGGUGUAUCCAGCCUUUUAAAAACCUUGAAGCAGGUAUCCGAUAUGUGGGUAAGUCUGUUGGAAAGUAAUAGACAAUUCCUGUGUUGCCUGGAUGUGGACAAAGCACUCUGCAAAGAAGAACAAAUGCACCAUGUUCUGUUAAUUUCAAGAUCAUCUGAAGGCCAGCUAUUUCUUGAUGUAAAUCCACUAGUUUUUCUGGUGCUAAUGCACACAGAGUACCAGAGCCGAAAUUUUUUUAGGUGCCAUCUCUACUCAUCUGUAAGUGGAAGGUACCAAAAUACAAGGGAUUUUUUUUUUUCUGGUUGCUGGAGUGAACUGAGUUUGAUGACUCUCUGUUGGGAGUCAUUGUUAAGUCCGCAAUGGACAAGUCAAUGUAGAAGCAGGUGCCAAUUUUUUUCACAAAAGGCAGAAAUUCAAAUAAUCACAGCCACACUACCAUAGCAUGCACUAGGUAGAGAUACUUUGCGCACUGGUAAAAUUCCUAUGCAACUGUGAAUGGAGGUGUAUGUAGCUAAUAAUGAUAUUCUUAUAUACACAGUGCAAAUGAGCUUCCCCUUUAUCAGCACAUUUAAAUUGUGGUCAUUUGCUUUGGUAAUUGAAAUAGUUACACCAGGCCCAAGAACGUGUGACUACAAGUACGCUUUUCUCGGCUAUUAAAAUCUCUAUGCAAGAUCAUGCUGAUUAGAGUCUCUAUUGUGUGUAUUUGGAAGAAAAAAAAAAAAUGACUACAUAGUGGCUAUGCAUGAGAUGAAGUA